AUUGAACGCUGGCGGCAGGCUUAACACAUGCAAGUCGAGCGAGCUGCGGACGGGUGAGUAAUGUCUGGGAAACUGCCUGAUGGAGGGGGAUAACUCCUGGAAACGGUAGCUAAUACCGCAUACCAUCAGAUGUGCCCCGAUGGGCUUAGCUAGUAGGUGGGGUAAUGGCUCACCUGGGCGACGCUCCCUAGCUGGUCUGAGAGGAUGACCAGCAAAACUGGAACUGAGCCACGGUCCAGACUCCUACGGGAGGCAGCAGGGGGGAAUAUUGCACAAUGGGCGCAAGCCUGAUGGAGCCAUGCCGCGUGUGUGAAGAAGGCCUUCGGGUUGUAAAGCACUUUCAGCGAGGAGGCGUUACUCGCAGAAGAAGCACCGGCUAACUCCGUGCCAGCAGCCGCGGUAAUAC
rnacentral:rRNA from 1 species